AAGUCGUAACAAGGUUGCCGUAGGUGAACCUGCGGAGGGAUCAUUACCGAGAGAGGGCGCCCGCCGCGCCCGACCUCCCGCAGUAAAAUGCUUUUUAAACCCCCUUCUGCGAACCGUACCGGCGUUGCCUCGGCGGUGGCCCCUAGCCCGGGCCGACCCGACGGACGUCCCUCACCCAAACCCUGCGUCCCUGAGAUCAGGAAGGUAGUAUGAUAUUGGAAUCAAUCAAAACUUCAACAACGGAUCUCUUGGUUCUGGCAUCGAUGAAGAACGCAGCGAAAUGCGAUAAGUAAUGUGAAUUGCAGAAUUCAGUGAAUCAUCGAAUCUUUGAACGCACAUUGCGCCCCCUGGCAUUCCGGGGGGCAUGCCCGUUCGAGGGGUCAUUACACCACUCAAGCCCUGGCUUGGUAUUGGGCGUCGGGAUGCACCCGCGCCUCUAUGUUUGUUCGGCUGGACGGUUGGAAUCUCAGCGUUGUGCAAUCAAUCCGCUGUGGGACCUGACUGGACGCGCCGUGAAAAUCUCAUCACAGGUUGACCUCGGAUCGGGUAGGGAUACCCGCUGAACUUAA
rnacentral:rRNA from 1 species